UACGUAGGGUGCAAGCGUUAAUCGGAAUUACUGGGCGUAAAGCGUGCGCAGGCGGUUUUGUAAGUCUGUCGUGAAAUCCCCAGGCUCAACCUGGGAACUGCAUCCGAUACUGGAUGGCUUGAAUUCGGGAGAGGGAUGCAGAAUUCCAGGUGUAGCGGUGAAAUGCGUAGAUAUCUGGAGGAAUACCGGUGGCGAAGGCGGCAUCCUGGACCGACAUUGACGCUGAUGAGCGAAAGCUAGGGGAGCAACGGGG
rnacentral:rRNA from 1 species